GAUGAACGCUGACCGAAUGCUUAACACAUGCAAGUCAACUUGAAUUUGGGUUUUUAACUUAGGUUUGGGUGGCGGACGGGUGAGUAACGCGUAAAGAACUUGCCUCACAGCUAGGGACAACAUUUGGAAACGAAUGCUAAUACCUAAUAUUAUGAUAAUAGGGCAUCCUAUAAUUAUGAAAGCUAUAAGCGCUGUGAGAGAGCUUUGCGUCCCAUUAGCUAGUUGGAGAGGUAACGGCUCACCAAGGCGAUGAUGGGUAGCCGGCCUGAGAGGAUGAUCGGCCACAAGGGGACUGAGACACGGCCCGUACUCCUACGGGAGGCAGCAGUGGGGAAUAUUGGACAAUGGACCAAGAGUCUGAUCCAGCAAUUCUGUGUGCACGAUGAAGUUUUUCGGAAUGUAAAGUGCUUUCAGUUGGGAAGAAAGAAAUGACGGUACCAACAGAAGAAGUGACGGCUAAAUACGUG
rnacentral:rRNA from 1 species